CGCCUACGGGAGGCAGCAGUGAGGAAUAUUGGUCAAUGGACGAGAGUCUGAACCAGCCAAGUAGCGUGAAGGAUGACUGCCCUAUGGGUUGUAAACUUCUUUUAUAUGGGAAUAAAGUUUUCCACGUGUGGAAUUUUGUAUGUACCAUAUGAAUAAGGAUCGGCUAACUCCGUGCCAGCAGCCGCGGUAAUACGGAAGGUCCGGGCGUUAUCCGGAUUUAUUGGGUUUAAAGGGAGCGUAGGCCGGCUUUUAAGUCAGCUGUGAAAGUCCGCGGCUCAACCGUGGAAUUGCAGUUGAAACUGGAG
rnacentral:rRNA from 1 species